AAGGAAAAACUCAAUGAAGAACCGAAAGGUACGACUACAGGUUCGGAAGAAAAAUGUAAUGAAGAACUGAAAGGUACAAAAGAAAAACGUAAUGAAGAACUGAAAGAUACGACUACAGGUUCAAAAGAAAAACCUAAUGAGGAACCGAAAGGUACGACUACAAGUUCGGAAGAAAACGUAAUGAAGAACUGAAAGGUACGACUACGUAUACAAAAGAAAAACGUAAUGAAGAACCAAAAGAUACUGCUACAGGUUUAGAAGAAAAACGUAAUGAGGAACCAAAAGGUAAAGACCUUAAUCUACACGUCUAAAAAUAAAUUAUUUUAGCUGAAUUUACAUUGUUAAAAUUUUGAAUUAAAAUUCUCAUACAAUUGCAUAUAAAAUCAAAA